rnacentral:rRNA from 1 species
UAAGGAGGGGACUAGCGUUGUUCGGAAUUACUGGGCGUAAAGCGCACGUAGGCGGAUUUGUAAGUCAGGGGUGAAAUCCCGGGGCUCAACCUCGGAACUGCCUUUGAUACUGCAAAUCUCGAGUCCGGAAGAGGUGAGUGGUAUUCCUAGUGUAGAGGUGAAAUUCGUAGAUAUUCGGUGGAACACCAGUGGCGAAGGCGACUCACUGGCCCGAUACUGACGCUGAGGCGCGAAAGCGUGGGGAGCAAACAGG